ACUCAAAUGAAUUGACGGGAGCCCGCACAAGCGGUGGAGCAUGUGGUUUAAUUCGAUGAUAAGCGAGGAACCUUACCAGGGUUUGACAUCCUACGAACCCCGCCGAAAGGUGGGGGUGCCCGCAAGGGAGCGUAGAGACAGGUGCUGCAUGGUCGUCGUCAGCUCGUGCCGUGAGGUGUCGGGUUAAGUCCUUUAACGAGCGCAACCCCCGUGCUGUGUCUCAAUUGACCACAGCAGACUGCCUCGGUAACGAGGAGGAAGGUGGGGAUGACGUCAGAUCAGCAUGGCCCUUACACCCUGGGCUACACACGUGCUACAAUGGCCGGGACAAUGAGGCGCUAAGCCGCGAGGCGGAGCAAAUCUCAUCAAACCCGGUCUCAGUUCGGAUCGGAGUCUGCAACUCGACUCCGUGAAGUUGGAAUCGCUAGUAACCGCGUAUCAGCUACGGCGCGGUGAAUACGUUCUCGGGCUUUGUACACACCGCCCGU
rnacentral:rRNA from 1 species